UUAGAAGAAGAAUGUUAUAAUCACCACAAUUACAUCCUCAGUCUUCUAAAACUAAUGUAUUCUAGUUCUAGGUUACACCACAAGCAACAGAAUGUUAUAAUCACCACAAUUACAUCCUCAGUCUUCUAAAACUAAUGUAUUCUAGUUCUAGGUUACACCACAAGCAACAGAAUGUUAUAAUCACCACAAUUACAUCCUCAGUCUUCUA